GUAGGGAAUAUUGGGCAAUGGUCGGAAGACUGACCCAGCCAUGCCGCGUGCAGGAAGACGGCCCUCUGGGUUGUAAACUGCUUUUAUCUGGGAAGAAAAAGGCCAUGCGUGGCAAAUUGCCGGUACCAGAUGAAUAAGCACCGGCUAACUCCGUGCCAGCAGCCGCGGUAAUACGGAGGGUGCGAGCGUUGUCCGGAUUUAUUGGGUUUAAAGGGUGCGUAGGCGGCUGAUUAAGUCAGCGGUGAAAGACUUCGGCUUAACCGGGGCAGUGCCGUUGAUACUGGUUGGCUUGAGUGUCGGAGGGGUACAUGGAAUUGAUGGUGUAGCGGUGAAAUGCAUAGAUACCAUCAGGAACACCGAUAGCGAAGGCAUUGUACUGGCCGACAACUGACGCUGAUGCACGAAAGUGUGGGGAUCGAACAGGAUUAGAAACCCGUGUAGUCC
rnacentral:rRNA from 1 species